CCCAUAAGGCUUUUGUCAGGACCGGUGCCAAUGUUAACAUGAAAAAAAUGGAUGACAACAUCCUGGGAGAGCUGAGUGGUUCCAUCUGGGGCCCAGGGCCAGCCAGCCACCACAUCACUUAGACACUGCACACCGUCCUCCUUGCAUCCUCAUCCUUGGCCGUGUCUGUUUGCUGCAGACUGGCAUUUUCACAUCAUUAUGCUUUUCAAGGUAC
rnacentral:lncRNA from 1 species